CACACGCUUCUCUCAUACAAACAACCAACGCUUUCUCUCAUACAACACAUGCAACGCUUCUCUCAUACAAACACACACACACGCUUUCUCUCACACAAACACAACGCAACCUUUCUCUCAUACAAACAACCACGCUUUCUCUCACACAAACACACGCACGCUUUCUUUCAUAAAACACAUGCAACGCUUUCUCUCACACAAACACACACACGAUUUCUCUCACACAAACACACACACGCUUCUCUCACACAAACACACAACAACAGCUUUUCUUUCAUACAACACAUGCACGACUUUCUCUCACACAAACACACACACACGCUUUCUCUCACACAAACACACACACACACGCUUUCUCUCAUACAAAACACGCACGCUUUCUCUCUACACAAACACACCAACGCUUUCUCUCAUACAAACACACGCACCGUUUCUCUCAUACAAACACACGCACGCUUUCUCUCAUACACACACUUUCUCUCAACAAACACACACGCACGCUUUUCUCUCAUACAAACACACGCACGCUUUCUCUCAUACAAACACACGCACGCUUUCUCUCAUACAAACACACACACGCUUUCUCUCAUACAAGACACUUUCUCUCAUACAAACACACGCACGCUUCCUUCAUACAAACACACGCACACUUUCUCUCAUACAACACACACCUUUCUCUCAUAAACAAACACGGUCUCUCAACACACUUUCUCUCAUACAAACACACGCACACUUUCUCUCAACACACACACUACUCUCAUACAAACACACGCACGCUUUCCUCUCAUACAAACACACGCACGCUUUCUCUCAUACAAACACACCACGCUUUCCUCAUACAAACACACGCACGCUUCUCUCAUACAAACACACGCACGCUUUCUCUCUACAAACACACGCACACUUUCUCUCACACAAACACACGCACGCUUCUCUCAUACAAACACACGCACGCUUUCUCUCAUACAAACACGCACACUUCUCUCAUACACACACUUUCUCUCACACAAACCACGCACGCUUUUCUCUACACAACCAACGCACCUUUCUCUCAUACAAACACACGCACACUUUCUCUCACAAACACACGCUUUCUCUCAUACACAAACACACGCACCGCUUUCUCUCACACAACACACGCACGCUUUCUCUCAUACAAACCAAAACGCACGCUUUCUCUCAUCAACACACUUUCUCUCAUACAAAAACAACGCACCACACGCUCUCUCAUACAAACACACGCACGCUCCUCUCAUACACACACACGCUUUCUCUCACACAAACACACACGCACGCUUUCUCUCCCACAACCACGCAACGCGUUCUCUCAUACAACACACGCACGCUUUCUCUCAUACAAACCAACACACGCUUUCUCUCAUACACACACACGCACCUUUCUCUCAUACAAAC
rnacentral:lncRNA from 1 species